rnacentral:misc_RNA from 1 species
UUUCCGUAGGUGAACCUGCGGAAGGAUCAUUAUUGUAUAAUCGAGGUGCGAGGGCUGUCGCUGACCCGAAAGGUCGUGCACGCCCGAGUGCCCUCACACACAUCCAUCUCACCCCUAUUUGCACCACCGCGUGGGUCCCCCUUUGGCUUGUUCGGCGGGGGGCUUACGUUUUCACACAAACUUUGUAUGCAGUGUAGAAUGUAUUUUUUGUUUUUGCGAUCACGCAAUCAAUACAACUUUCAACAACGGAUCUCUUGGCUCUC